UUCAGCUGACGGUUGACAGGGCCCGCACCGUACACACGCCUCUACUGUUUUCUGACUCCUACCGAGGACUUUCCAGCUAGCUAGCCACGACUAUCUCCCUCUGACAACACUUCUAGCGCCAUGACAUCCGAACGGCAAAUAUGACAUUUUCGAGUAUUUUAUUUUAAAUGUGUCGUUGUUCAAGAGGCUAACGUUAGUUCUGUUUUGUCGUUUUAGCAGUUUCCCCGAUGGAGUCAGACGAGGACCCACAGAACGCUCGAGGAACUGAAUGAAGCCUUGGAAGGACACUCUGACAAUGCAGAAUGGUUCUGCCAACGAGCCUACGCCCAACUUCAACUGAAAAACUACAGCUGAGCUGUCAACAAUGCCAAGAAAUCCCAGCAGCUCAACCCCAGCCUUCUUCUUGCCUUCAUGAGAAUGGG